rnacentral:tRNA from 1 species
UGUCAGAUAGCCUAGUGGUAUAUAAGGUAGUACACCUAGCAAAUGGGUAUCAGCUAAAAAAAAAACACCAAGGUCCCUGGUUUGAAUCCAGGUCUGAUAA